rnacentral:rRNA from 1 species
AACGAACGCUGGCGGCAGGCUUAACACAUGCAAGUCGAGCGCCCCGCGAGGGGAGCGGCAGACGGGUGAGUAACGCGUGGGAAUCUACCCAUCUCUACGGAAUAACUCAUGGAAACGUGUGCUAAUACCGUAUACGUCCUUCGGGAGAAAGAUUUAUCGGAGAUGGAUGAGCCCGCGUUGGAUUAGCUAGUUGGUGGGGUAAAGGCCUACCAAGGCGACGAUCCAUAGCUGGUCUGAGAGGAUGAUCAGCCACACUGGGACUGAGACACGGCCCAGACUCCUACGGGUUGCAGCAAUGGGGAAUAUUGGACAAUGGGCGCAAGCCUGAUCCAGCCAUGCCGCGUGAGUGAUGAAGGCCUAGGGUUGUAAAGCUCUUUCACCGGUGAAGAUAAUGACGGUAACCGGAGGAGAAGCCCCGGCUAACUUCGUGCCAGCCGCCGCAGUAACAC